rnacentral:rRNA from 1 species
UACGAAGGGGGGCUAGCGUUGCUCGGAAUCACUGGGCGUAAAGCGCACGUAGGCGGACUUUUAAGUCAGGGGUGAAAUCCUGGAGCUCAACUCCAGAACUGCCUUUGAUACUGGAAGUCUUGAGUCCGGAAGAGGUAAGUGGAACUGCGAGUGUAGAGGUGAAAUUCGUAGAUAUUCGCAAGAACACCAGUGGCGAAGGCGGCUUACUGGUCCGGUACUGACGCUGAGGUGCGAAAGCGUGGGGAGCAAACAGG